rnacentral:lncRNA from 1 species
UCUUUCAAAAUUUCAAUGACCACGAUAUAAUAACCAAUGACAAGCAGAUAAAGAAAAUAAUAAUAAUUAUAUCUUUCCAGAUAAGUCAAGGCUGAUCAUCUGAUUCUCUUACCUUCUCAUGGCUCUUCAGCCUCGCCUAUAAAUAAAGGCCUACAGGAGAGCUCUAAGAUAUGAAAUUUUCUCUCUUCCAACAUGCUCCUCCUUCCCUUUGUUAUCCAGAAUUCUAACUUGAGCGUCGGAGGGUCCCUGCUGGAGUUACCUC